rnacentral:lncRNA from 1 species
CAAGAUCGGUUGGUCAUGUGAAUCAGCGUCUUCUCCUAUUUUACGUAUAAAAUAACAAUUAUCGUUAUCGCUAUGAUUAAAUUACUCAUUAAUUACAAAAUAUAUCAUUUUUACAGUAGUUUUAGUUUUGUUUGUAAUUUAUACUCCAUUUAUUGGAGUCAUUUACUUUAAAAUAAAAUCUCGCCUUCUAACCGGCUUGGGUAAACGACGCGCAGUCAUCUUGUUCUUGAAGCCCGCUUCUAGACCGUUUAGUAUAAUUAAUUUGGAAAUCCAUAAUUCUUUUAAAUCAAUCAGUGAUUGUGGAGUAAGCUUGUGUUUACAUAUUUAUGUGCUUGAAAAUAAAAUGAAGUUAUUUACGAUUUUUAGAUAGUGAAGUAAUUUUGUGUUUAUUGUGUGGUAUAGAAAAAUAUAAAAUCAUUUUAUCAUAAUAAAUAAUUUUUGAGUGAUUGUGUGAUGUAAAUAAAUGCCCACAUUUGAAAUUGCGUAAAUGAAUUCUACGAAUAAAAUGCUGGGAGAAAAAAAAUGUCAACAAACAUGCCUGAAAGACGGAAGUAAUUGGCACGAAUCCAUUAAUAUGAUUUCCAACAUGUGAAAAUCUCCAAUGAACAAUUCCAACGUCUACAAGAUGCAAAGGUCUUCUCGUGAUUGAAAUACAACAAAAAUACCAGCAACAACUAUUGGGCAUCAGCAUACACCAAAUAAGGUCUUUUUUUCAUCCCUUGACUGCUCUUGCUGUUCACUUGUCUGCCAGGAAAACGUUGCGCGGUCUUUCAACGACAUUUUGAGAAGAGGAAAAACGACCAACUCGUCGACGGCCUAAACAAACCCUCGAGGGGUGCCACUAAACUGUCGAGACCUCCCAGCGACAGGAAAUUUGAUGAAGAGGCAACCAAAACAAUAGAAGGAAGAGAGACAAAAUAAAACUCUCAAAAAUAACUAUCUUCUAUACAUGUCUACCAACUUCACAUUAUUGUGUUUGCAAGCUUAUUAUUUUUGUAUUUUUUUUUUUUUAAACGCAUUUA